GACGGAGGGUGCUAGCGUUGUUCGGAAUCACUGGGCGUAAAGGGCGCGUAGGCGGCCAGGCAAGUCGGCUUGUGAAAGCCCGGGGCUCAACCCCGGAGGUGCGGCCGGGACUGCCUGGCUGGAGGCCGGAAGAGGAGGGUGGAAUACCCAGUGUAGAGGUGAAAUUCGUAGAUAUUGGGUGGAACACCGGUGGCGAAAGCGGCUCUCUGGUCCGGACCUGACGCUGAGGCGCGAAAGCGUGGGGAGCAAACAGG
rnacentral:rRNA from 1 species